rnacentral:misc_RNA from 1 species
UACGGAGGGUGCGAGCGUUGUUCGGAAUUAUUGGGCGUAAAGCGCGCGCAGGUGGUUUCUUAAGUCUGAUGUGAAAGGCCCGGGCUCAACCUGGGAACGGCCUCUAAAACUGAUGAUCUUGAGUCCGGAAGAGGAUGGCGGAAUUCCCAGUGUAGAGGUGAUAUUCGUAGAUAUUGGGAAGAACACCGGUGGCGAAGGCGGCCAUCUGGUCCGGGACUGACGCUGAGGCGCGAAAGCGUGGGGAGCAAACAGG